rnacentral:rRNA from 1 species
GAUCAUGGCUCAGGACGAACGCUGGCGGCGUGCCUAACACAUGCAAGUCGAACGGAAAAUUGAGCUUCGGUUCUAAUUUUUAGUGGCGAACGGUGAGUAACGCGUAGGCAACCUGCCCGUUUAGACGGGGACAACAUUCCGAAAGGGAUGCUAAUACCGGGAUGUGACGCUCCUAUCGCAUGAGGGGAGCGUGAAAGAUGGGCCUCUACAUGUAAGCUAUCGCUAAAGGAUGGG